CCAGCUAUCUCAGUUGGUAGAGCAUAAGACUGCUAAUCUCAGGGUCGUGGGUUCGUGCCCCACGAAGCUGGU
rnacentral:tRNA from 1 species